rnacentral:tRNA from 1 species
GCCCCGCUAGCUCAGUUGGCUAGAGCGCCAGACUUUUAAAGCAAAAACUUGCUGCAAUCUGGAUGUCAGGAGUUCGAGCCUCCUGCGGGGCG